GUACUCACUUCAGCAACACAUAUACUGUAACUGGAAUAACACUGAAAGAUUAGCAAGGCCCCUGUGCAAGGAUGAUAUGCAAACUUGUGAAGCAUUUACUAUCUUA
ensembl:snRNA U6 U6 spliceosomal RNA